UCGGGAAUUUUGGGCAAUGGGCGCAAGCCUGACCCAGCAACGCCGCGUGAAGGAUGAAGUCCUUCGGGAUGUAAACUUCGAAAGAAUGGGAAGAAUGAAUGACGGUACCAUUUAUAAGCCCCGGCUAACUCUGUGCCAGCAGCCGCGGUAAUACAGAGGGGGCAAGCGUUGUUCGGAUUUACUGGGCGUAAAGGGCGCGUAGGCGGUCGGGUAAGUUACUUGUGAAAUCUUGAAGCUCAACUUCAAACGGUCAAGUAAUACUGUCGGACUAGAGUGCAGAAGAGGCAACUGGAAUUCUUGGUGUAGCGGUGAAAUGCGUAGAUAUCAAGAGGAACACCGGAGGCGAAGGCGGGUUGCUGGGCUGACACUGACGCUGAGGCGCGAAAGCUAGGGGAGCAAA
rnacentral:rRNA from 1 species